GACGAACGCUGGCGGCGCGCCUAACACAUGCAAGUCGAACGAGCGAGAGAGAGCUUGCUUUCUCGAGCGAGUGGCGAACGGGUGAGUAACGCGUGAGGAACCUGCCUCAAAGAGGGGGACAACAGUUGGAAACGACUGCUAAUACCGCAUAAGCCCACAGGUCGGCAUCGACCAGAGGGAAAAGGAGCAAUCCGCUUUGAGAUGGCCUCGCGUCCGAUUAGCUAGUUGGUGGGGUAAUGGCUCACCAAGGCAUCGAUGGGUAGGGGUUCUGAGAGGAAGGUCCCCCACAUUGGAACUGAGACACGGUCCAA
rnacentral:rRNA from 1 species